rnacentral:rRNA from 1 species
AGAUUGAACGCUGGCGGCAUGCCUUACACAUGCAAGUCGAACGGUAGAGUAGCAAUACUCGAGAGUGGCGAACGGGUGAGUAAUAUAUCGGAACGUGCCCAGUCGUGGGGGAUAACGUAGAGAAAUUUACGCUAAUACCGCAUACGAUCUAAGGACUGAAAGCGGGGGAUCGCAAGACCUCGCGCGAUUGGAGCGGCUAGAUAUCAGUAUUAGGGUUGUUGGUAGAGGUAAAAAGCUCCACGAAGCCGACGAUCUGUAGCUGGUUUGAGAGAACGACCAGCCACACGUGGGACUGAGACCACGCCCAGACUCCGUACGGAGGGCAGGCAGGUGGGGAAAUUUUGGAACGUAA